rfam:Aedes albopictus isolate Foshan contig37366, whole genome shotgun sequence.
GCCUAGUGGUUAAGGCUAUGGAUUGCCAAUCCGGAGACGGCGGGUUCGAUUCCCGU